AUUGAACGCUGGCGGCAGGCCUAACACAUGCAAGUCGAGCGGAUGAAGGGAGCUUGCUCCUGGAUUCAGCGGCGGACGGGUGAGUAAUGCCUAGGAAUCUGCCUGGUAGUGGGGGAUAACGUCCGGAAACGGGCGCUAAUACCGCAUACGUCCUGAGGGAGGAAGUGGGGGAUCUUCGGACCUCACGCUAUCAGAUGAGCCUAGGUCGGAUUAGCUAGUUGGUGGGGUAAAGGCCUACCAAGGCGACGAUCCGUAACUGGUCUGAGAGGAUGAUCAGUCACACUGGAACUGAGACACGGUCUAGACUCCUACGGGAGGCAGCAGUGGGGAAUAUUGGACAAUGGGCGAAAGCCUGAUCCAGCCAUGCCGCGUGUGUGAAGAAGGUCUUCGGAUUGUAAAGCACUUUAAGUUGGGAGGAAGGGCAGUAAGUUAAUACCUUGCUGUUUUGACGUUACCAACAGAAUAAGCACCGGCUAACUUCGUG
rnacentral:rRNA from 1 species